UCUGAUUUGAUGCUUGCAUUGAUGAAAGAUGAGCGGCGGACGGGUGAGUAACGCGUGGGUAACCUGCCCUAUACACAUGGAUAACAUACUGAAAAGUUUACUAAUACAUGAUAAUAUAUAUUUACGGCAUCGUAGAUAUAUCAAAGUGUUAGCGGUAUAGGAUGGACCCGCGUCUGAUUAGCUAGUUGGUGAGAUAACUGCCCACCAAGGCGACGAUCAGUAGCCGACCUGAGAGGGUGAUCGGCCACAUUGGAACUGAGACACGGUCCAAACUCCUACGGGAGGCAGCAGUGGGGAAUAUUGCACAAUGGGCGCAAGCCUGAUGCAGCAACGCCGCGUGAACGAUGAAGGUCUUCGGAUCGUAAAGUUCUGUUGCAGGGGAAGAUAAUGACGGUACCCUGUGAGGAAGCCCCGGCUAACUACGUGCCAGCAGCCGCGGUAAUACGUAGGGGGCUAGCGUUAUCCGGAUUUACUGGGCGUAAAGGGUGCGUAGGUGGUCUUUCAAGUCGGUGGUUAAAGGCUACGGCUCAACCGUAGUUAGCCUCCGAAACUGGAAGACUUGAGUGCAGGAGAGGAAAGUGGAAUUCCCAGUGUAGCGGUGAAAUGCGUAGAUAUUGGGAGGAACACCAGUAGCGAAGGCGGCUUUCUGGACUGCAACUGACACUGAGGCACGAAAGCGUGGGUAGCAAACAGGAUUAGAUACCCUGGUAGUCCACGCUGUAAACGAUGAGUACUAGGUGUCGGGGGUUACCCCCCUCGGU
rnacentral:rRNA from 1 species